GAUGAACGCUGGCGGCGUGCCUAAUACAUGCAAGUCGAGCGAACAGAUGAGGAGCUUGCUCCUCUGACGUUAGCGGCGGACGGGUGAGUAACACGUGGAUAACCUACCUAUAAGACUGGGAUAACUUCGGGAAACCGGAGCUAAUACCGGAUAAUAUACUGAACCGCAUGGUUCAAUAGUGAAAGACGGUUUUGCUGUCACUUAUAGAUGGAUCCGCGCCGCAUUAGCUAGUUGGUAAGGUAACGGCUUACCAAGGCAACGAUGCGUAGCCGACCUGAGAGGGUGAUCGGCCACACUGGAACUGAGACACGGUCCAGACUCCUACGGGAGGCAGCAGUAGGGAAUCUUCCGCAAUGGGCGAAAGCCUGACGGAGCAACGCCGCGUGAGUGAUGAAGGUCUUCGGAUCGUAAAACUCUGUUAUUAGGGAAGAACAAAUGUGUAAGUAACUAUGCACGUCUUGACGGUACCUAAGCAGAAAGCCACGGCUAACUACGU
rnacentral:rRNA from 1 species